rnacentral:rRNA from 1 species
AUAGCCAUACCACCCUGAACAUGCCUAAUCUCGUCUGAUCUCGGAAGCUAAGCAGGGCCGGGUCUGGUUAGUACUUGGAUGGGACACAAUCUUAGGAACAGAGUAUUCACUAUU